rnacentral:rRNA from 1 species
GAACGGUAACAUUUCUAGCUUGCUAGAAGAUGACGAGUGGCGGACGGGUGAGUAAUGCUUGGGAACUUGCCUUUGCGAGGGGGAUAACAGUUGGAAACGACUGCUAAUACCGCAUAAUGUCUUCGGACCAAACGGGGCUUAGGCUCCGGCGCAAAGAGAGGCCCAAGUGAGAUUAGCUAGUUGGUGAGGUAAGGGCUCACCAAGGCGACGAUCUCUAGCUGUUCUGAGAGGAAGAUCAGCCACACUGGGACUGAGACACGGCCCAGACUCCUACGGGAGGCAGCAGUGGGGAAUAUUGCACAAUGGGGGAAACCCUGAUGCAGCCAUGCCGCGUGUGAAGAAGGCCUUCGGGUUGUAAAGCACUUUCAGUUGUGAGGAAAAGUUAGUAGUUAAUACCUGCUAGCCGUGACGUUAACAACAGAAGAAGCACCGGCUAACUCCGUGCCAGCAGCCGCGGUAAUACGGAGGGUGCGAGCGUUAAUCGGAAUUACUGGGCGUAAAGCGCACGCAGGCGGUUUGUUAAGCUAGAUGUGAAAGCCCCGGGCUCAACCUGGGAUGGUCAUUUAGAACUGGCAGACUAGAGUCUUGGAGAGGGGAGUGGAAUUCCAGGUGUAGCGGUGAAAUGCGUAGAUAUCUGGAGGAACAUCAGUGGCGAAGGCGACUCCCUGGCCAAAGACUGACGCUCAUGUGUGAAAGUGUGGGUAGCGAACAGGAUUAGAUACCCUGGUAGUCCACACCGUAAACGCUGUCUACUAGCUGUGUGUGAUUUUAAAUCGUGCGUAGCGAAGCUAACGCGCUAAGUAGACCGCCUGGGGAGUACGGCCGCAAGGUUAAAACUCAAAUGAAUUGACGGGGGCCCGCACAAGCGGUGCAGCAUGUGUUUAAUUCGAUGCAACGCGAAGAACCUUACCUACACUUGACAUGCAGAGGACUUUCUAGAGAUAGAUUGUGCUUCGGGAACUCUGACACAGUGCUGCAUGCUGUCGUCAGCUCGUGUCGUGAGAUGUGGUAGUCCCGCACGAGCGCACCCUUGUAUAGCUGCAGCAUCAGUGGGCACUCUAGGAACUGCGUGACAACCGAGAGUGGACGACGUCAGUCAUCAUGGCUACUGUAGGCUACCACCUGCUCAUGGCAUUACGGGAAGCGAGACAGGGAUGUGGACGACCCUUAAAAGUGCUGAAUCCGGAUGGAAUUCGACUAUCUUGAAUCGGAAGUCCGUACAAAUCACAGGGGCAGAAAAACAUGCUGCGA